CAGACAUAUAUUAAAACACAGUGUAUGAUUCCAUUCUGUAGGACAUUCUAGAACAGACAAAAUUAAUCUAUGAUGUGGUGGAAUAAAGAUGGCCCAUCUUUGUCACUCUCCCCACUGAAAAGUGGAAUUUAUUUUUCCAUCCCCUUGAAUUUCUUCUAGGCUCAUGCCUGCUUUGGUCAGUAGAAUACAGCUGAAGUGAUGUUGUACCAGUUUUGCGUCUGGUCUUUACAAGCACUGGUAGCUUCAACUUUCUCCUUCUUGGUACUCACCCACCAUGUUGUAAGGAAACCCAAACAGCCACGUGGAAGACAGUUCUAGUUGAGCUCCCAGCCCAGAGCCUAUCCCAACUCUCCAGCCAUACCCUGACUUCCUUCAGCAAAGAGACAGCUUCUGAUUCAUGUUCGUCUCACCAUAAUCCAUUUCCCUCUCUGCAGAUACUUCCAAAAGUUACACUAGAUGUUAACUGAGCACUAAGGACACUACGUGAAAGACUGGAGUACAAACAUCCAAAGGACUGAAGAAUUUGAAGAGCACUGAAUGUGGGAGAUAGGACAGAGGAAAGGAGUCAAAUGUCUCCAAGAAACGAAGCCUGUGUGCCCUGGAGAAUGAAGAAGCAUCAUCAAAUCGGGGAGACUGAAGGAGGAAUCGGUUUUCAGAGAAAAACAAUUUAUAUUGUCUUAGCUGUGUUAGGUGGCAUACUAUUACAUUCAAGUGAAGCUGUGUAAUAGACAGAGAUGACAAAUUUUAUUCAUUUAUGAAUGCCCCCCAAAAUAUAUAUAUAGUUUUUGCCCUCAUGUCUCUUAUUGGGAUGACAGACAUAAAUCAAAGAAUUCCAUAAAUAAAUAUUAAAAUACAAUUUGUGAUAAAUGCUACAAA
rnacentral:lncRNA from 1 species